GACUUCAGCUAUACCACCCUGAACAUGCCCGAUCUCAUCUAAUCUCGGAAGUUAAGCAGAGUUGGGCCUGGUUAGUACUUGGAUGGGAGACCACCUAGGAAUACCAGGUGCUGUAGGCA
rnacentral:rRNA from 1 species